rnacentral:lncRNA from 1 species
UCAAAUUCAAUACACCACGUAAUACCCGCGACUACUGCCAUAAUUUCCAUCAUAAGAGGAGCCGAGCUUACCCGAGAAGACUUCGCAGCAGCAAGCAUGAUCUUCCCCCGAUGAUCUCGAACCACAACCCCAACACCAUAACUCCGUUGCACCGGAUCAAAAAGGGCGUCGACGUCACACCGGAAACGCCCAUCACGCGGGGGAAACCAUUUACGUCUGCCAAGCUUCAUCCCCAUAAGAUUUUCCA